CGUUAAAAUCAGAAGACCAUUUAUAGAAUAAGGGACAGAUAAUUGCCCUUUUAAGAUGAUGUAUAUAGAAGACCCUUAGCAUUUGAAGAAUUAAAUUUGUGACUGCUGUGCAUUUAGACUGUGACCUCAUGAUCUAUGAUCUUUUAUCUGUUGAGACCUAAAUUUGAACCUUGAGUACUUCCAGCCUGGCACAUAGAAACAAGUGUCUUAGCUCUAAGUGACUACUAUGUAUCAUCUACUCAAUUGUGCUUGGCUGUUUUACUACACUAGUUAGGUUAAUGCUCCCCAAUGAUUAAAAACCAUAUUUUCUUUUCCAGGGAGAAAAAAAAGGCAAGUUUCAACUAGAAAGCUUAUUCUUGGGUGUGAGGGAUGGAAGCCAGCUCAGAAAGUUACGGCAUUUUUGAAUAUGAAUGUUCAUCAGAGUUCUAGGAAACAGCUAUUAUAAAUAGAAAUGUCUGCACCAUUUACUGAGACCUCUGCACUUAGUACUGAGUGGAGGAGAAGAGGCCACACCAAGGAAGCUUAAGUUCAGAGAAACUUGGCCUAAGCAUACAUGAAGAGGUUUGAGCUGAAGGAUUUAGCUAUGUCCAGGAAACAUUUGUGCCAGCAGAGAAAAUUUAUACUUAUGAUGCUUCAUCUGAUUUCCUUUAUGAUGGAGAAGUAUCACAGAAUAAGAGUUAACAUAAUGGACUUUGAAUUUGGGCAAACUGGGAAUCAAAAUCUUGCUUCACAACUUAGUGGCUGUGUGCCCUUGGGUAAGUUCUUUGACUUUUCUGAGACUUCACUUUAACCUGAAAAGCAGAAAUGAUAAUACUUAGCUCGGAGGUUUGAAGUUAAAAUAAGAGAUAAUAUGUAUGAAAAACUUGGUCCGUAGCUUAGUACAAAGACAUUCCUCAAUAAGUAGAUGUUCAU
rnacentral:lncRNA from 1 species